GUCACACACUCACAUAAAAACAGUUCUGUUGUUUAGCUUCAAAUGCUAACAAAAAGGUACAUUUUAUAAUAAAUCAUAAUAAUAAAUGUCUGUCUGUCUGUCUUAAACUCAACAUAAAUAGUUACAACAGCAAAAAUGUCAAUGUUUUUAGGAAAAAAAAAUAGGAAACUAUGAACGAAAAGACAAAAAUUAAGCAUAAAUUGUCAAAUUUAAAUUAAAAAAAUAGGUGUUUCACCAGCAAUGUUUGGAUGGACCAUCACAGGCAAGCUAAAAACUCUGCUAUGAAUAAUUCAGAAACUCCAGUCAGCCCUUCAUGAAGCUUUUUAAAAUACAACUGCAACAGCACAGGUUCAUAUCAAUAGAAGACAUCAAGUUCAAACCUUAAUCUGCUCCUUAUUGCGCUAAAACUGUGACAGCAACAAACAAGGACGUCUGUUACAACAGGAGGUUAUGAGUCUUUUCUGACACACG